rnacentral:rRNA from 1 species
UACGUAGGGUGCGAGCGUUGUCCGGAAUUACUGGGCGUAAAGAGCUCGUAGGUGGUUUGUCGCGUUGUCCGUGAAAACUCACAACUCAAUUGUGGGCGUGCGGGCGAUACGGCAGACUGGAGUACUGCAGGGGAGACUGGAAUUCCUGGUGUAGCGGUGGAAUGCGCAGAUAUCAGGAGGAACACCGGUGGCGAAGGCGGCAUCCUGGACCGGCAUUGACGCUGAGGAGCGAAAGCCAGGGAGCAAACGGG